rnacentral:rRNA from 1 species
UGGGGAAUUUUGGACAAUGGGCGAAAGCCUGAUCCAGCAAUGCCGCGUGUGUGAAGAAGGCCUUCGGGUUGUAAAGCACUUUUGUCCGGAAAGAAAUCCUUGGCUCUAAUACAGUCGGGGGAUGACGGUACCGGAAGAAUAAGCACCGGCUAACUACGUGCCAGCAGCCGCGGUAAUACGUAGGGUGCAAGCGUUAAUCGGAAUUACUGGGCGUAAAGCGUGCGCAGGCGGUUUGCUAAGACCGAUGUGAAAUCCCCGGGCUCAACCUGGGAACUGCAUUGGUGACUGGCAGGCUAGAGUAUGGCAGAGGGGGGUAGAAUUCCACGUGUAGCAGUGAAAUGCGUAGAGAUGUGGAGGAAUAUCGAUGGCGAAGGCAGCCCCCUGGGCCAAUACUGACGCUCAUGCACGAAAGCGUGGGGAGCAAACAGGAUUAGAUACCCUGGUAGUCCACGCCCUAAAACGAUGUCAACUAGUUGUUGGGGAUUCAUUUCCUUAGUAACGUAGCUAACGCGUGAAGUUGACCGCCUGGGGAGUACGGUCGCAAGAUUAAAACUCAAAGGAAUUGACGGGGUCAUAGCUGUUCCU